rnacentral:rRNA from 1 species
AACAAACGCUGGCGGCAGGCUUAACACAUGCAAGUCGAGCGCCCCGCAAGGGGAGCGGCAGACGGGUGAGUAACGCGUGGGAAUCUACCCAUCUCUACGGAAUAACGCAUGGAAACGUGUGCUAAUACCGUAUACGUCCUUCGGGAGAAAGAUUUAUCGGAGAUGGAUGAGCCCGCGUUGGAUUAGCUAGUUGGUGGGGUAAAGGCCUACCAAGGCGACGAUCCAUAGCUGGUCUGAGAGGAUGAUCAGCCACACUGGGACUGAGACACGGCCCAGACGCCAACGGGAGGCAGCAGUGGGGAAUAUGGGACAAUGGGCGCAAGCCUGAUCCAGCCAGGCCGCGUGAGUGAUGAAGGCCCUAGGGUUGUAAAGCGCUUUCACCGGUGAAGAUAAUGACGGUAACCGGAGAAGAAGCCCCGGCUAACUUCGUGCCAGCAGCCGCCGUAAGAC